UACCAGACUCCUACGGGAGGCAGCAGUGAGGAAUAUUGGUCAAUGGGCGGAAGCCUGAACCAGCCAAGUCGCGUGAGGGAAGAAGGCCCUGCGGGUCGCAGACCUCUUUGGACGGGGAGCAAGGCCGCCGACGUGUCGGCGGAAGGAGAGUACCCGUAGAACAAGCAUCGGCUAACUCCGUGCCAGCAGCCGCGGUAAUACGUAGGGGGCAAGCGUUGUUCGGAAUGACUGGGCGUAAAGGGUGUGUAGGCGGUGUAGCAAGUUAGAAGUGAAAUACCUAGAGCUUAACUCAGGUGCUGCUUCUAAAACUGCUAUACUUGAGUGCAGUAGAGGAAAGUGGAAUUCCUAGUGUAGCGGUGGAAUGCGUAGAUAUUAGGAGGAACAUCAGUGGCGAAGGCGACUUUCUGGACUGUAACUGACGCUGAGGCACGAAAGUGUGGGGAGCAAACAGGAUUAGAUACCCGCGUAA
rnacentral:rRNA from 1 species